CCUACGGGGGGCUGCAGUGGGGAAUAUUGGACAAUGGGCGAAAGCCUGAUCCAGCCACGCCGCGUGUGUGAUGAAGGCCUUCGGGUCGUAAAGCACUGUGGGGAGGGAAGAACGAGCAGUGGGCUAAUAUCCCAUUGCAGUGACGGUACCUCCUUAGCAAGCACCGGCUAACUCCGUGCCAGCAGCCGCGGUAAUACGGAGGGUGCAAACGUUGCUCGGGAGCGUUGGGGCGGAAGCGCGUGUAGGGUGUGAAAGCCCUGGGCUUAACCUAGGAAGUGCGCUCGAACCUGGCAGGCUUGAGUACGGGAGAGGGACGCGGAAUUCCCGGUGUAGAGGUGAAAUUCGUAGAUAUCGGGAGGAACACCAGUGGCGAAGGCGGCGACCUGGACCGAUACUGACGCUGAGACGCGAAAGCGUGGGUAGCAAACAGGAUUAGAUACCCGUGUAGUC
rnacentral:rRNA from 1 species